GGCGGCGUCCCUGCACAGCUCCCGCAGGUCACUGCCUGAGUAGCCGCCCGUCUUGUCUGCCAGCUCCUGCAGGUUCACCGCCGUGCUCAGCUGUUGCAAAAACACCAGGCAUGCAGGCUGCGGAGGGUGCAGAAAGCCAACCGCACUUUCCUCCCCACGGCUGCCCAGGUCAGGGGCUUCUGCAACCAGGGGAGAGGGAGCACUGCAAAUUGGACAAGGUGCUGGCAUGGACAGGGCCCUGUUUGCUAACAGCCAUCAUGGAAAGACCUCUACCUCGCUGCAGAAGCGGUGGCUCUCUGUCAGAGCACAUCCUCCCACCCUGCCUCCCGUUGGUACCUGGCAGUCGGACCUGGUCUCCAGCCCAUCCCAGAGGCUCAUGAACUGGGCCUUGAUCAUGGCCGUGGCUUCAUGGUCAAUACUAGAGUGGCUCCGCAGGAAGGCAUCUACCAAGGACAGGACAAGACCCAAGCCUCACCCCAGCACCCUGCCCCUGCCUCUCCUCCACACCACUGCAGAGACUGGAUGCCGGCACGAGGGGCCAGUGAGCCAGGGCUUGCUCCCAGGUGCACUGCGAUGCUCGUCUCAUGUUCUGUCAGCUUGACCCCGUUCACUCCGAUCUGCUUCAUCAGCCGCUCAGCCUGACAACAC